GUGUCCACUUUGGCAACAAGUAUACUAAAAUUGAAACAAUACAGAGAAGAUUAACAUGGCUCCUGCGCAAGGAUGACACGCAAAUUAAUGAAGCAUUCCAUAUUUUU
ensembl:snRNA U6 U6 spliceosomal RNA